rnacentral:sRNA from 1 species
CCAUGUACUCCUAUACAUUGUAUGUGCAAGCAUGUUGCCAUGUACUCCUAUAUGUGCAUGCAUGCAGCCAUGUACACCUGUAUGUGCAUGCAUGUAGGAGUACAUGGCAACAUGCUUGCACAUAUAGGAGUAUAUAGCUACAU